rnacentral:rRNA from 1 species
CGGUCGGGAACGUAAACGCGCAUGCGAGGCCGCUUGUUAAGUCAGAUGUGAAAGCCCGGGGCUUUAACCUCGGAAUUGCAUUUGAAACUGGCAGGCUAGAGUCUUGUAGAGGGGGGUAGAAUUUCAGGUGUAGCGGUGAAAUGCGUAGAGAUCUGAAGGAAUACCAGUGGCGAAGGCGGCCCCCUGGACAAAGACUGACGCUCAGAUGCGAAAGCGUGGGGAGCAAACAGGAUUAGAUACCCUGGUAG